rnacentral:ncRNA from 2 species
UGGUCGUCGCAAGAGGGAACCCGGUGAGAACCCGGGACUGCCCCGCAGCGGUGAACGGGAACGACCGUCGCAUCCAGGCACUGCGCCCCUGAGGGGGCGUGGGAAGCCGCGACCAGUAGGACCGGGAGGCGAGAGCCGACCGGGCGCCCGUGAGUCCGAAGACCUGCCA